rnacentral:rRNA from 1 species
UACGUAGGUGGCGAGCGUUUGUCCGGAAUUACUGGGUGUAAAGCGCGCGUAGGCGGGAGGCCAAGUCCGCUGUGAAAUCGCCCGGCUCAACUGGGCGCGGUCGGUGGAAACUGGUCACCUGGAGGACGGUAGAGGCGAGUGGAAUUCCCGGUGUAGUGGUGAAAUGCGUAGAGAUCGGGGAGGAACACCAGUGGCGAAGGCGGCUCGCUGGGCCGGCCCUGACGCUGAGG